rnacentral:rRNA from 1 species
AUUGAACGCUGGCGGCAUGCCUUACACAUGCAAGUCGAACGGCAGCACGGGAGCUUGCUCCUGGUGGCGAGUGGCGAACGGGUGAGUAAUACAUCGGAACGUACCCUGAAGUGGGGGAUAACGUAGCGAAAGUUACGCUAAUACCGCAUAUUCUGUGAGCAGGAAAGAGGGGGAUCGCAAGACCUCUUGCUUUAGGAGCGGCCGAUGUCGGAUUAGCUAGUUGGUGAGGUAAAGGCUCACCAAGGCGACGAUCCGUAGCGGGUCUGAGAGGAUGAUCCGCCACACUGGGACUGAGACACGGCCCAGACUCCUACGGAGGCAGCAGUGGGGAAUUUUGGACAAUGGGCGCAAGCCUGAUCCAGCCAUGCCGCGUGAGUGAAGAAGGCCUCGG